ACUACGGGUGGCAGCAGUGGGGGAUAUUGCACAAUGGGGGGAACCCUGAUGCAGCGACGCCGCGUGGGUGAAGAAGGGCCUCGGCGCGUAAAGCCCUGUCAGCAGGGAAGAAAAUGACGGUACCUGAAGAAGAAGACCCGGCUAACUACGGGCCAGCAGCGGCGGGAAUACGUGGGGGGCAAGCGUUAUCCGGGUUUACAGGGUGUAAAGGGGGCGCAGACGGCGGUGCAAGCCAGGAGUGAAAGCCCGGGGCCCAACCCCGGGACUGCUCUUGGAACUGCGUGGCUGGAGUACAGGAGGGGCAGGCGGAAUUCCUGGUGUAGCGGUGAAAUGCGUAGAUAUCAGGAGGAACACCGGUGGCGAAGGCGGCCUGCUGGACUGCAACUGACGUUGAGGCCCGAAAGCGUGGGGAGCAAACAGGAUUAGAUACCCUUGUAGUC
rnacentral:rRNA from 1 species